UACGUAGGGUGCAAGCGUUAAUCGGAAUUACUGGGCGUAAAGCGUGCGCAGGCGGUUUUGUAAGUCUGUCGUGAAAUCCCCGGGCUCAACCUGGGAGUGGCGAUGGAGACUGCAAGGCUGGAAUCUGGCAGAGGGGGGUAGAAUUCCACGUGUAGCAGUGAAAUGCGUAGAGAUGUGGAGGAACACCGAUGGCGAAGGCAGCCCCCUGGGCUAAGAUUGACGCUCAUGCACGAAAGCGUGGGGAGCAAACAGG
rnacentral:rRNA from 1 species